rnacentral:rRNA from 1 species
GCGGCAAAAGCUCAAAUUUGAAAUCUGGCGUCUUCGACGUCCGAGUUGUAAUUUGAAGAAGGCGACUUUGUAGCUGGUCCUUGUCUAUGUUCCUUGGAACAGGACGUCAUAGAGGGUGAGAAUCCCGUGUGGCGAGGAUCCCAGUUAUUUGUAAAGUGCUUUCGACGAGUCGAGUUGUUUGGGAAUGCAGCUCUAAGUGGGUGGUAAAUUCCAUCUAAAGCUAAAUAUUGGCGAGAGACCGAUAGCGAACAAGUACAGUGAUGGAAAGAUGAAAAGAACUUUGAAAAGAGAGUGAAAAAGUACGUGAAAUUGUUGAAAGGGAAGGGCAUUUGAUCAGACAUGGCGUUUGCUUCGGCUUUCGCUGGGCCAGCAUCAGUUUUAGCGGUUGGAUAAAUCCUCGGGAAUGUGGCUCUGCUUCGGUAGAGUGUUAUAGCCCGUGGGAAUACAGCCAGCUGGGACUGAGGAUUGCGACUUUUGUCAAGGAUGCUGGCGUAAUGGUUAAAUGCCGCCCGU